GGUGAACGCUGGCGGUAGGCCUAACACAUGCAAGUCGAACGGCAGCACAGUAAGAGCUUGCUCUUACGGGUGGCGAGUGGCGGACGGGUGAGGAAUACAUCGGAAUCUACUUUUUCGUGGGGGAUAACGUAGGGAAACUUACGCUAAUACCGCAUACGACCCACGGGUGAAAGCAGGGGAUCUUCGGACCUUGCGCGAUUGAAUGAGCCGAUGUCGGAUUAGCUAGUUGGCGGGGUAAAGGCCCACCAAGGCGACGAUCCGUAGCUGGUCUGAGAGGAUGAUCAGCCACACUGGAACUGAGACACGGUCCAGACUCCUACGGGAGGCAGCAGUGGGGAAUAUUGGACAAUGGGCGCAAGCCUGAUCCAGCCAUACCGCGUGGGUGAAGAAGGCCUUCGGGUUGUAAAGCCCUUUUGUUGGGAAAGAAAAGCAGCAGGUUAAUACCCCGCUGUUCUGACGGUACCCAAAGAAUAAGCACCGGCUAACUUCGUG
rnacentral:rRNA from 1 species